rnacentral:rRNA from 1 species
UUAUUGGAGAGUUUGAUCCUGGCUCAGGAUGAACGCUGGCGGCGUGCCUAAUACAUGCAAGUCGAGCGAACCAAUUAAGAGCUUGCUCUUAAGAAGUUAGCGGCGGACGGGUGAGUAACACG